rnacentral:rRNA from 1 species
UACGUAGGGGGCUAGCGUUGUCCGGAAUCAUUGGGCGUAAAGAGCGUGUAGGCGGCCCGGUAAGUCCGCUGUGAAAGUCGGGGGCUCAACCCUCGAAUGCCGGUGGAUACUGGCGGGCUAGAGUGCGGAAGAGGCGAGUGGAAUUCCUGGUGUAGCGGUGAAAUGCGCAGAUAUUCGCAAGAACACCCGUGGCGAAGGCGGCUCUCUGGGACGGGACUGACGCUGAGACGCGAAAGCGUGGGGAGCGAACAGG